UUGUAUUCAUGAUGAAUAUAUCUGUCUUUACUUUUUGGAAUCAUGUAUGUGGUUCACUUGUCUCUGCUAUGCUGUUUGCUCUGUAAUUGGAUUGUGAGAGGUUUGUAAAUAAGAUUUCAGGACAUGUGCUAUUUUGUGAACCUCCUACUUUUCUUGAAAUACACACUGUUCGUUUUUCUCGUAUACACUCUUUCUUAUGUUCCAUUUUUUGUAUUCAUAUAUUCAUAGGUCAUUCUUAGCGACGAGUUUAGAAAGUCUUUCACCAAACUAAAAUCACCACAGCUCAGGAAGGAAGUACUCCAAAAGCUUAUCAAACUUGAAGAUGAUUGGAGGAGAACAGUUAAGAACCUUGAGAUGCCUGGUGCUUCUCAUCUUGCGAAAGUAUACAAGGUCUGGGACCUGUAUCUUGUUUGGACUACUGACGUGAAGAAAACCGAAAGAACGUAUUCCCAGAUAAUAAGAAUUUGGGACCUAUUGUCACAGCAGAAUGUUGCAAGAACUGUUCAACGUCUCGAGAAUCUGUUCUCCAUGUACACGGAUGAUUACCUUGAUCAUUGCAAGAGAGUGGAGACACAGGGGAAACUGGAGGUUCCUAUGGUUUUGGUCUUUGGGAUGUUGUGCAUGAUAUUAUCCGCUAUAACAUGGAUUGCAAAGUUGAUUCUUAUGAAGAGCAUGAUCUCGUGGAUACAUCAUAUGCCAUGGAGAAUCCAAAAGUUAGUGAAAGCUUCCUGCUGAUGAAAUUCUACUCUUUAUCAUCUGGAACGGCAAAGCAUUUGUGACAGCUACUAAUGGGUCUGAAAUUGACAUCCCCUUUGAACAGACUGAUGAAGGGCAGGUGGUUAUCCAAUUCCUGCUCACUAUUUUUAUACUUGGGAGGUCAGGCAGUGGAAAAAACCUACCUUACACUCUACGAAGCUCUGUCUGACUUACCAUUGUGUUCGUUGCAUUGCCAUAGGUAUGGUCUACAUGCAAAAUGGUACUUCUAGAAUUGAGGAAGCUGGUGACUGUUUUGCUAGGGCUGAAUGCUGGUCGGAGACAGCUGAAAUAUUCUUUAAAGCUAAAUGUUACACCAAGUGUUUCUCCAUGUGCUCGAACGGAAAACAAUUAUACAAUCUGGGCUUGCAGUUUCUGCAACAGUUAAGAGGAGGAACAUUCACUUGAGAAUUCAACAUCCUUGGAGGUUUCUGCAAUUAGAACGAAGUAUCUGGAAAAUUGUGCUCAGCAUUAUUUUGAGCGUGCUGACAUAAAGCAUAUGAUGCCCUUUGUUAAAGCUUUCAGCUCUAUGGAUCACGUUUAUAAAUUCUAGAAAUCUAUGUCAAGUUUAGAGAUGGAAAUGGGUAAUUUCCUAGAAGCUGCAGGAAUACCAAAGCAUAAAGGAGAUGUCUUAUUGGAGGUAGAUAUACUCGAGAAAGCAGAUUUGUUUGAGGACGCAACAUGGCUUCUCCAUAUCAUUGUGGAUUCCUUGUGGUCUUCAAAUAGUAGAGGAUGGCCUCCCAAAAGAUAUGCAGAGAAGGAGCAGUUGCUUGCAAAAGCCAAAGAGAUGGCAGAAAAGGUCUCUGAGUGCUUCUACUUACUGCUUUGUUUGCAUGGAAGCUGAUGCACUGUCAGAUGGGAAAAAGUCCCUUUCCAGUUUGAGUUGCACUUUGCUUGAGGGCAGAAAAUGUGCAAACUUGUUAGUUGGACUUGUUGCUUCCUGUUCGAUCCUUGAUGUUCAUCUUCAAUCUCGAGCCUCUGGAUACAAGAUAUAAUCAGGACCAGGAUCUGAAGAUGAAAAUAGCUGCAAUGACAUGCUGGCCUCUAACCAGAUGUCACCCCAAACUCUGUUUUGUGUCUGGAAUCACUGGAAGACGAUCAUAAUCAAAGUAUUAUGUCAUCUUUGCCACACUGAUGGUCCAGAAUUAAAUGAUUAUGCAGUUGUUUAAGAAGAUCUUUGCGCCAAGUACUUUGGAUUGAGAAAAGAUGGUGAAGUUGACAGAUAUGUGGUGCUGAACAUGAAUGCAAGUUGGCUUUCCAAUGCUGACAGGAAUUCUUUGCAGCAAGACGGGAACAGAUGUUUAUUGGGUGCCCCUCAGUGUCGUUCAUGUGCUCAGUGUUUCUUGAUGAAUGAGCUGUCUUCUGUUGGUUUCAGUGUACUUAAGAAGUUGGAGUGGAUUGUUCAAAUUUCUCCAAAGCCGGCAUCUUCGCAUACCCUGGUGAGAACUAUCCUUAUCAUACAUGAGAUAGCCAAGUUUUUGGAAGAACCAGAGUUCAGUAUGCCAAAAGGUUCCAUGAAGUUAAGAAGCUUUUUUGUUCUCUGUGGGCGUUGAUUCUUUGAGUUAGUUUUUCUUGUGUGGAGAGAUGGGACAAUGAGGAGCCUCUUGCAUCUACUUGACUCGCCAGCUGCAUAUGGAUUGGUUGCUGAUUCUCGUGGUGCAGAUCUUCACCCAGCAAAUAAAAAAUUGACUCAUGGGCAUCUUGGGAGAACAACCAUGCUUCUGCUUCAUGCAGCACAAUUGGACGAAGUGCUACUUUCAAGACUACUACAGUACCUGGGCAAUAAUUCUGAGUGGGCAGAUUUUUUUUGAUAUUUCAAGAGAUUUCUUGAUAGUGGUCGGGAUAGAUCCUCCUUGAUCUUCAACUUUAAGCUUGCUCGAGUGUACCUUCAGUGUAAAGUGGAAGGAUGAACUAGACUACAUAUCCCCACCAUGCUAUGUGGGACUGUGGGUCUUAUGGAGUGCCUUGGUUUCUUGGAUUCAUCAUGCUUACUGCAGAAUGAUUUUAUAUGCUGCACGAAAUCUCUGUUGGUCAAUAUGCUGGAAUGCCGUACCAGCAAGGCUUUACACUGACACCUGCCUGGUAUCUAAGUCAAGCUCAGAUUCCAAUUUUGAUGGUUUGGCACACUCAUCAGGCCGUUUCAUAUAUGAGACAAUUGUGACUAUCUUGAUGGCCAAGCAUAUGCUCCAGGAAUGGGUACAUAUGACUUCAUGUCCUUCCAGUACUUCAUACAAAGCAGUCCUCCUGUGACUAGUUGUUACACUUUACCCUCUGAUCCUUACUCUUUCUCUGGGGAAGUGCUAUGAGGUCACACAUAACCUUGUGAGGAAUGAAAUCUUUAAGGAUUUACCUUUGGACUUCUCUAAGAAGAUUGAAGAUGCUUUGAAAAUGAGGUCUCGCACACCUAGCAACUUCACAAGAGUGCUUGCUGAUGCACUUGCCGCAAUCGGAGAUCGUAUGGUAGUUAUUGGUUCACCCGAAGCCCCAGUAAUCUGUCGAAACUUGAAUCCUUGUAUGAUUAGCAAGGAGGAUUUGCAUGAUGUUCCGAAGAUAAUGGCUCUUUGUGUCUUGAAGAAUCAAAUUCUGUAAAGCAAGAUACUCCAUUGCCACAACAAACUGAUGGUAGCAAGUGUCUUGAAGAACCAAGUUCUGUAAAGCAAGAGACUCCAUUUCCAGAAAAAUCUGAUGGUAGCAAGUUCAAAAAUGUUAUUUCUGGAAACAUUCCUGUGACGGUAGAGAUAGUAAAGAUAUGGAUCAGUCCGAGAAAGAGAAAUUCAACCGAUGUCCUUGUGCCUGUAUAGAGGUAUUAAAAGGUAGAGGGUUCGAGCAAGACAGAUUCAACUGGUAUCUUUGACACUCUCUGGAAGAAGCUUGAGACUUUUCUACUCGAUGAGCAAGACCAGAAAGAUGCAAGGGCUGUCUUUUCAAUUUCUUAGAGACGCCCUUCCAUGGCUGGAACAAACAGGCGUUCUAGCAUAGAUUGAUAAAGAACUUGAUGAACACAGUCUGGAAGAGGUCAAGCACAUCUGCAGUGAGUUUGAAAAACUCUCCGACAGGAUGGACAAAAAAGAUGUGGAUGACCUAUACACAAAGUGGGAAGGUGCUGGGAAGACACUGCAGCCGGUCAUCCGCCUUGUGAGUGGUACAGGAAUAUGCAUGAAUGAUUGUAGUGAAUGCAGGAAGUGAAGGUGCAAGGAAAAGGAGAAAGACCCCAGGUUCCCAUCCUCUGCAUUCUGAAGGUGCCCACAGCCAGUUUAUACAAAACUUGUCCAGAUGAUGAGCGAGCUGACAUGGGAGAAGCUGCCUCGACUUCAACAAAGGUGGCGCAGAAGCAGAAAGCAAGAAGAAAUCCAAGGAAACAAAGAAGUCUGACAAGGGCCGUGGCAAGAAGUGAGCUGCUGUAGUUACUUUCCCGCCUUCAAAAAAUAUUUGCGUGCACCGGAGAAGCUUGUUUUUUUUUUUUGAACGGGCCGGAGAAGCUUGUACGUAAAACCAUUGGAUAAGACAGCAGAAAUGUGUUGCUUCGUGUCUGACCAGGGAAUGCAACUUUUGAACCGGCACAAGACAGAUGCACCCAUGCAUCACGGUGAAGUUCCCGCUAAAUUAUUUAUGAUGAUUGAAUGUGCUUA